rnacentral:rRNA from 1 species
GACGAACGCUGGCGGCGUGCUUAACACAUGCAAGUCGAACGGUAAGGCCCUUCGGGGUACACGAGUGGCGAACGGGUGAGUAACACGUGGGUGAUCAACCCUGCACUUCGGGAUAAGCCUGGGAAACUGGGUCUAAUACCGGAUAGGACUCCGGACUGCAUGGUCUGGGGUGGAAAGCUUUUGCGGUGUGGGAUGGGCCCGCGGCCUAUCAGCUUGUUGGUGGGGUGAUGGCCUACCAAGGCGACGACGGGUAGCCGGCCUGAGAGGGUGACCGGCCACACUGGGACUGAGAUACGGCCCAGACUCCUACGGGAGGCAGCAGUGGGGAAUAUUGCACAAUGGGCGCAAGCCUGAUGCAGCGACGCCGCGUGAGGGAUGACGGCCUUCGGGUUGUAAACCUCUUUCAGCAUCGACGAAGCGAAAGUGACGGUAGGUGCAGAAGAAGGACCGGCCAACUACGUGCCAGCCGCCGCAGUAA